CAGUAAUAAACCAAAAACGGUCGUUAUCGCGACGGAAAGUUUGAACGGCGGUUCUUCUAUUCAAAUCCCAAACACGAAUAGUUUUGUCUUCACUGGCUGACAAUAUGAGCUCUUGAUGUGGGUGGAACAAGCAGCAAGAAACAUUAUUAAAAUGGCCACGACACGUAUCAACCUCCCAAGCUUUAGAAGCAGUCAUACGCCAUAAUUUUACAAGUCGAUCAUCGCCAGCAGAGAGGAUUAAAGGAAGAGUUGGAUGGAAAGCGCACCAGUUCACGCCUCGAUCAUGACCUUCUAAAACAAAUUUUACGAUAGCAUCUGUGCUACCAAAUAAGUCAUUAGAAAUCGAGUUGUGGGCCUGAGCUAGCUGAUCUUCAAGCGACAUACUAACCGGAGCUGCAUUCUUCAUGCGAAGACCGCUAAUGUCCCAAACGCGAACUGUUUGAUCCAAACUGGCACUAACAAUCAGAUCCUCAGAAGGAUGAAAGGCAGCACACAUAACAUAGUGAGAAUGGCCAGUUAAUAUAGCGAUACAGUUGCGGGAUUGCCAAUUCCAAAUACGAAUCGUCUGAUCAUCGGAACAAGACAAAAUCCAUGGAU